rnacentral:rRNA from 1 species
UUUUAUGGAGAGUUUGAUCCUGGCUCAGGAUGAACGCUGGCGGCGUGCCUAAUACAUGCAAGUCGAGCGAACGGACGAGAAGCUUGCUUCUCUGAUGUUAGCGGCGGACGGGUGAGUAACACGUGGAUAACCUACCUAUAAGACUGGGAUAACUUCGGGAAACCGGAGCUAAUACCGGAUAAUAUUUUGAACCGCAUGGUUCAAAAGUGAAAGACGGUCUUGCUGUCACUUAUAGAUGGAUCCGCGCUGCAUUAGCUAGUUGGUAAGGUAACGGCUUACCAAGGCAACGAUGCAUAGCCGACCUGAGAGGGUGAUCGGCCACACUGGAACUGAGACACGGUCCAGACUCCUACGGGAGGCAGCAGUAGGGAAUCUUCCGCAAUGGGCGAAAGCCUGACGGAGCAACGCCGCGUGAGUGAUGAAGGUCUUCGGAUCGUAAAACUCUGUUAUUAGGGAAGAACAUAUGUGUAAGUAACU